rnacentral:lncRNA from 1 species
GAAUGCUCUCAAGAAUCUUCAAGUUAAAUGUGCACAGAUAGAAGCCAAAUUCUAUGAGGAAGUUCAUGACCUUGAGAGAAAGUAUGCUGUUCUCUAUCAGCCUCUGUUUGAUAAGCGAUUUGAGAUCAUUAAUGCAAUUUAUGAACCUACAGAAGAAGAAUGUGAAUGGAAACCAGAUGAGGAAGAUGAAGUUUCGGAGGAGCUGAAAGAAAAGGCCAAGAUUGAAGAUGAGAAAAAGGAUGAAGAAAAAGAAGACCCUAAAGGAAUUCCUGAGUUUUGGUUGACAGUUUUUAAGAAUGUUGAUUUGCUCAGUGAUAUGGUUCAGGAACAUGACGAACCUAUUCUGAAGCACUUGAAAGAUAUUAAAGUGAAGUUUUCGGACGCUGGCCAGCCUAUGAGUUUUAUCUUAGAAUUUCACUUUGAACCCAACGAAUAUUUCACAAAUGAAGUGUUAACAAAGACUUACAGGAUGAGGUCAGAACCAGAUGAUUCUGAUCCCUUUUCUUUUGAUGGACCAGAAAUUAUGGGUUGUACAGGGUGCCAGAUAGAUUGGAAAAAAGGAAAGAAUGUUACUUUGAAAACCAUUAAGAAGAAGCAGAAACACAAGGGCCGUGGGACAGUUCGUACUGUGACUAAAACAGUUUCCAAUGAUUCUUUCUUUAACUUUUUUGCUCCUCCUGAAGUUCCUGAGAAUGGAGAUCUGGAUGACGAUGCUGAGGCAAUACUGGCUGCAGACUUUGAAAUUGGUCACUUUUUACGUGAGCGUAUAAUCCCAAGAUCAGUGUUAUACUUCACUGGAGAAGCUAUUGAGGACGAUGACGAUGACUAUGAUGAAGAAGGUGAAGAAGCUGAUGAGGUAAUGUUUACCAAAUGAGCAAAUAAUUCACUGUAUGACACUGAGGAGCAAAUUGAGUGAUUAAUGUAUUCCUUUGCUUAUAAUCAUUCUGUGAUUUGGGAUAAAUUUUGGAAACUGAUUUUAGAAUUCUACAGCCAAACAAUGUAUGUAUAAGGUUUCAAUAAAUAAAUUGCAAAACUCAGCAACAUUUUUUUUUUUAUUUCAAAUAAUUUUGUUCUGCUGCAGGGUUAUCAGCUCUUUGAAGAAGUCAAAAGCUGCAGUAAACUUUUUCAACGUUGGCUGCAGUAAAUCUUUUCAAUAAAAGCUGUCUGGAU